GCCAGCUGCCAUGUCCUGAAGAUACUAAGGCAACCGUGUGCAGAGGAACUAAAAUACCGAGUUCAACAACAGAUCACAGGUUGCGAGAGGUCUUAAAUCCAUACUCUUCCAGUGACUAGAGCAAAUGCAGCCCUAGGUCUGGCAUCCUGAAUUUUUGUCUUAUUUUUUCAUUAGUACACGAGACUCUACUUUCAUCUUUUUAAAAGGUCUCUUGCUAUCCUUCAAGCAAAGCUAUCUCCAAAUCUGAAGAAGAGACCAAGAAAUAGAAAAAGUAGCACCUCUUGCCUGCUUCCCUGUCUAAUAUUUGAAAGAGUGCCUCCAUCAGAGAGCUCCAUCCAGACCUAGACUUGGACAAUAGGCAGUUGUUUGCUUGCCUCUGGCUCUGCUCACUCUCCAUGGGGGUCUAUAGCUGGUGAUCAUCUUGUAUACCUAAUUCUGGCUUCAUCUUCAGACUCGGACAGAACCAGAGUCAGACAGUCUGUUCUUCUCUGAUGGUGUCACAUCUGGAUAGAGUGGCUGGAGCUGCUGCAUCCAGCUUGCUACAAGCACAGGGGAUGGCAGAGCUCAGAGAUGGGAUGACCCUGUGUUCUUGAUGGAAUCAACCAGUCAUGCGGAUCCUGCUAUUUCUGGACUGGCUGUUAGACAUCUGACUCAUGAAAAGAAAAAUAGAAGUGAAAAUUGCCAUUUUUCUCAAGAAAUAGCACUUUCUUCCCACAAUAUAAAGAAGACCAUUUGACUUUUAUUACUAAGUUUUCCAAACCACUGAGCAUGCACCUCCACAUGCCUGCAGAGUGCACUGGUUGCCAUUGGGUUGAGUGAAUUCCAGUUACACAUUACUAUCACAGACAAGUAAAGGGUCAAUGAAAUACAUAUUCACGACCCCACAAAUAAUCUUUUCAGUAGUCUGUUUCCUAGUUACAUGAUUUCCCUUUUCUUAAAUCCUUGAAUUAUUUGAUAAAAGUCUCCACAGUGGUGUUUUUACUGUGGCUGAACUUUGGUGGGUAAAGAGAUAAAAGAAAAACUUCAAUCUAUGGCCUUGGGACACACAUGAGAAAUUUGCUACCCAGGUGAGGCACACUUGUGGAAGCCAAAAAUCUUCAUGCUUAUAUCAAAUCCAUGAAUAUUCUGGCUUCUGAACAUGGCCCAAGUACGGGAGGGUUAUGUGCAGUAGUAAACAGAUGACUAAACUACAUCUGAUGCCUAAGUAGUGACUUCUUGGUGAACACACAACUUUUUCACCAUGCUAUCAUGCAAUCAUUUUUAAAACUCGGGAUGUCAUCUUCCUCCCUUGUAAGUUCAAGCCCCCAGAUAUGGCUUAUCAGGCCACUUAUAAUGUGUGUGCUUUCAAGUUCACGAUAUACAUUGCAUUACAUUUAUAAUAUCAGGUGACGUGACACAGCAAAUGAUACCUUCAACUAUCUCCAGCCCCAAUCUUGGGAAAUGUUUCUGGUAGUCCCAGUAGCAGGGACAGCAAGCUAAAAUAAGGGGUUUAACGUUUAAGAUCUCUAAGAGCUGAUACCACUGGGGCAAACUCCCUCAACAAUGAGGUUUUCUCCAACCUCAAAAGAAAGGCCAGUGAACAGUCAUCUGGUACAGGUGGCAUUGCUGGUGGGAGGAGUGGGUUUUCCACGGCUGUACUACACAUUUUGGGAGCCAUCAAUAGCUGGCGCAGUGGAUGCAACACCCUCUUGAUUGUCAGCAGAAGCAAAUCACUAGAAGCCCUGGAACCCUAGUAAAACACCCAAAAGAAAACAUGGAAUUAAAUAUCACGUUGUCAUCCCUGCUGCUUAGGUACAGAAGAGGUACAGCUCUAUUCUGGAAGGAUUUGGAGUCAUUUGAGAGAGCAGCUUUACAUCAGAAGUUUUGACUAGUAUUCUCAUUUUAGGGACAGAUAGUGAUUCUCAUUUGAGGACAGCUGAAAAAAAAAAACAGCUGAAUUAUCACCAACUAGUUUAGGUUAUGUCUUGGGUUGAAUUGUGUUGUCCAAAAAGAUUCAUUGACGCACUAACCCCCAGAACCUCAGAAUGUGACCCUUAUUUGGAAUGAGGGUCUUUACAGAGUUAAUCAGAUUAAAAUAAGAUACGAUUGGCACUAACCCAAUAUGAGUUUUUAGAAAAAGGGGAAAUUUCAACCCAGAGACAUGCAUUGUGGGAGAACUAUAAGAAAAGAUACAGGCAGAACGCCAUGAGAAGACAAAUGCACAGACUAGGGGAUGCAACUACAAGCCAAGGAAUGGCAAAGAUUUCCAGCAAACCACCAGAUGCUAGGAGAAGCAUGGAACAGAUUCU
rnacentral:lncRNA from 1 species